UACGGAGGGUGCAAGCGUUAAUCGGAAUUACUGGGCGUAAAGCGUGCGCAGGCGGUUUGUUAAGUCUGUUGUGAAAUCCCCGAGCUCAACUUGGGAAUUGCAAUGGAUACUGGCAGGCUGGAGUAUGGUAGAGGAAGGUGGAACUCCCGGUGUAGCAGUGAAAUGCGUAGAGAUCGGGAGGAACACCAGUGGCGAAGGCGGCCUUCUGGACCAAUACUGACGCUCAUGCACGAAAGCGUGGGGAGCAAACAGG
rnacentral:rRNA from 1 species